UACGAAGGGUGCAAGCGUUAAUCGGAAUUACUGGGCGUAAAGCGUGCGUAGGCGGUUUCUUAAGUCUGCUGUGAAAUCCCCCGGCUUAACCUGGGAACUGCGUCUGAUACUGGGAGGCUUGAGUAUGGGAGAGGGAUGUAGAAUUCCAGGUGUAGCGGUGAAAUGCGUAGAUAUCUGGAGGAAUACCGGUGGCGAAGGCGGCAUCCUGGACCAUAACUGACGCUGAGGCGCGAAAGCUAGGGGAGCAAACGGG
rnacentral:rRNA from 1 species